rnacentral:rRNA from 1 species
UACGUAGGGUGCAAGCGUUAAUCGGAAUUACUGGGCGUAAAGCGUGCGCAGGCGGUUUUGUAAGUCUGUCGUGAAAUCCCCGGGCUCAACCUGGGAAUUGCGAUGGAGACUGCAAGGCUAGAAUCUGGCAGAGGGGGGUAGAAUUCCACGUGUAGCAGUGAAAUGCGUAGAGAUGUGGAGGAACACCGAUGGCGAAGGCAGCCCCCUGGGUCAAGAUUGACGCUCAUGCACGAAAGUGCGGGGAGCAAACAGG